rnacentral:misc_RNA from 1 species
GAUGAAGAACGCAGCGAAAUGGGAUAAGUAAUGUGAAUUGCAGAAUUCAGUGAAUCAUCGAAUCUUUGAACGCACAUUGCGCCCGCCAGUAUUCUGGCGGGCAUGCCUGUCCGAGCGUCAUUUCAACCAUCAAGCCCCGGGCUUGUGUUGGGGACCUGCGUCCGACGCAGGCCCUGAAAACCAGUGGCGGGCUCGCUGUCCACACCGAGCGUAGUAACUAACCUCGCUAUGGAGUGGCGCGGGCGCCUGCCGUAAAACCCCCAAUUUCACAAGGUUGACCUCGGAUCAGGCAGGAAUACCCGCUGAACUUAAGCAUAUCAAUAAGCGGAGGA